GCGGCCGCAGGUAGCUGAGCUGGAGCUAGCACAAGUUGAAUUCACCAAAUAGAAGACAUUGGAAAUGAGACCCGAGGGUUGGAGGAGGAGGAAGCCUGCAAUGUGAACACGAUGGCUGGAGCUCCGGCAGCCAUUCUGGACCAGGAGGUAGCCUUGAAGAUGGAAGCCACAUGUUGGGAUGGUGAAUCCAAAAGAUGAGGAGCCUGUAUCCCCUGUGACACCAGAACUGCCAUACCAGCCCUGGGUUCCUCCAUCUAUACUGCCUUCAUAUGGUAAAGAAAUAUUCUUGGAUCUUGUUAGGUGUCUGUUGCAGCCAAACACAAUCCCAACUGAUAUUCACUGUAAAUGAUUCCAUGGCUCCCUGUAGUACUUCUACAAAGCAUCUAUCACAAUUGUAAUUAAUAAAAUAAUUAUGCAAUUACUGGU
rnacentral:lncRNA from 1 species